UAGGGAAUCUUCGGCAAUGGACGAAAGUCUGACCGAGCAACGCCGCGUGAGUGAAGAAGGUUUUCGGAUCGUAAAACUCUGUUGUUAGAGAAGAACAAGGACGUUAGUAACUGAACGUCCCCUGACGGUAUCUAACCAGAAAGCCACGGCUAACUACGUGCCAGCAGCCGCGGUAAUACGUAGGUGGCAAGCGUUGUCCGGAUUUAUUGGGCGUAAAGCGAGCGCAGGCGGUUUCUUAAGGCUGAUGUGAAAGCCCCCGGCUCAACCGAGGAGGGUCAUUGGAAACUGGGAGACUUGAGUGCAGAAGAGGAGAGUGGAAUUCCAGGUGUGGCGGUGAAAUGCGUAGAUGUAUGAAGGAACACCAGUGGCGAAGGCGGCUAUCUGGUCUGUAACUGACGCUGAGGCACGAAAGCGUGGGGGGCAAACAGG
rnacentral:rRNA from 1 species